AUCCAUGUGAAAAGUGUUAGCGUUUGG
rnacentral:piRNA from 1 species